GUGUCAGCCGCCGCGGUAAUACGUAGGGUGCGAGCGUUGUCCGGAAUUACUGGGCGUAAAGGGCUCGUAGGCGGUUUGUCGCGUCGUCCGUGAAAACUUGGGGCUCAACCCCGAGCGUGCGGGCGAUACGGGCAGACUUGAGUACUGCAGGGGAGACUGGAAUUCCUGGUGUAGCGGUGAAAUGCGCAGAUAUCAGGAGGAACACCGGUGGCGAAGGCGGGUCUCUGGGCAGUAACUGACGCUGAUGAGCGAAAGCGUGGGUAGCGAACAGGAUUAGAUACCCUGGUAGUCCACGCCGUAAACGGUGGGCGCUAGGUGUGGGUUUCCUUCCACGGGAUCCGUGCCGUAGCUAACGCAUUAAGCGCCCCGCCUGGGGAGUACGGCCGCAAGGCUAAAACUUAAAUGAAUUGACGG
rnacentral:rRNA from 1 species